rnacentral:rRNA from 1 species
AGUGAACGCUGGCGGUAGGCCUAACACAUGCAAGUCGAACGGCAGCACAGUAAGAGCUUGCUCUUACGGGUGGCGAGUGGCGGACGGGUGAGGAAUACAUCGGAAUCUACUUUUUCGUGGGGGAUAACGUAGGGAAACUUACGCUAAUACCGCAUACGACCUACGGGUGAAAGCAGGGGAUCUUCGGACCUUGCGCGAUUGAAUGAGCCGAUGUCGGAUUGGCUAGUUGGCGGGGUAAAGGCCCACCAAGGCGACGAUCCGUAGCUGGUCUGAGAGGAUGAUCAGCCACACUGGAACUGAGACACGGUCCAGACUCCUACGGGAGGCAGCAGUGGGGAAUAUUGGACAAUGGGCGCAAGCCUGAUCCAGCCAUACCGCGUGGGUGAAGAAGGCCUUCGGGUUGUAAAGCCCUUUUGUUGGGAAAGAAAAGCAGCAGGUUAAUACCCCGCUGUUCUGACGGUACCCAAAGAAUAAGCGCCGGCUAACUUCGUG